UCGUGUGGGAGGGCCAGCCAGGUGUGGCUGCAGCUUCCGAGUUCUCUAACUUGACAUCCAGACACUGGGUGAGAGUGGGGGAGAUGGAGGGCCCCUGGGAUGCAGAAUGUGGGGAGGAACCGGGAGUGAGGGUCGCCCCAGUCUGCAGAUCCCACUGCGCCCUUCCUCACGCAUGGCGCCUGGGAUUCCUGCUCGCCUCUCCCUGCAGGGCUCUGCCUCCUAGUGUUUAAACGUUGACAACUAAUGCAGCUGUGUGAGUGUGUGUGUUUGUAUGUGAUACGAAUGUGUGCACCUGCGUCCGCUGUGUGAUAUGAACAUGUGUGCCUGUUUGUGGAUGUGUGUAUGGGCCUCUGUGUGUGUGAGAGUGAGGGUGUGUAUGGGUAAGUAUUUGCAUAUAUGAAUGUGUGUGUAUAUGAGUAUGAAUGUGUUUGCCUGUGUUUGUGUGUAUGAGAGUGUGUGUGUGUUUUGUAUACCAGUAUGAAUGUGUGUGCAUCUGUGUAUGUGAGUGUGAGAGAGUGGGAAGUGGGUGUGUGUGUGUGUGUAUAUGAGUGUGUAUGCAGGUGUGUGUGUAUAUGAAUGUGUGCAUGUUUUUAUGUAUGUGAGUAUAAAUAUGUGUGCCUGUGUCUAUGUAUGUAUGUGUGUGUGGGUGCGUGAGUGUGAGAGUGUGUGGGCAUGUGUUUUUGUGAACGGUGCGUGGGUUCGUGUAUGUGAGUGCGGAUGUGUGUAAAAGUGUGUGUGAGCAUGUUUGUGUAUGUGAAUGUGAGAGUCUGUGUGUGUAUCUGUGGUGAAGACUAACAUAUCUGAAGGCAAUUGGGCCUGAGGUGAUCUGUGUGAUUUCUGAUGUGAAAGAGCACCUGCGAGGGGUCUUCCCCAGCCGCCCCUGGCAGGAGAUCCCAGCCGCAGAGGGCUCAGGGCUGUCCAGAGCUUGAAACAGAACCCAUUGAUCUCAUUACAAGAGGCGGAGGGAGAGUCACGCAAGAUAACCUUGAGGUUGGGUUGUUCGUAUCUCAAGUCUCUUAGAAGGCAUUCUUUGCUUGUUUAAAUAUCCUCUUUCAACAGAAAAUGACUCUUCCAUGGAGGCCCCUACCAUAUUUGAGCUACUCAUGUUUGCACCACCUAAUCAGAUGCAAGUCUAAAUAAACAUAUAUAUAUAUAUAUUUAAUAUACAUCGACAGAGAGCACAGUCCCAACAUUGAAACGCUUCUGUCACCCCUUAUGUAAUUUCAGACCUGAGGCACCUAGGCCUGUGCUGGGUAAACCUCAGAUGCAGAAAGGCCUGGAAGGAGAAAGGCGUGUUCGUUUUCAGGAGAGACCUGGAACUCGAGCAGAUGCCAGGGGAAUCACAGCACAGCUUGACGCAGCUGGAUCAUGAGCCACAUGGAGGCAGAGUGAAGACUUGUUUCAUCUUUUAAUCUGUAAUCCUCAGCAGCACCUGACAUGAGACCUCAAUAAAUAUUUGUUGCAUGAUUAUUGUUGAAUGACUUGUAGACACAAAAUGCUGUAUAAGCAUGAGAUGCAGCACGGGUGUGUGGAGAGAGGUGGACAGAGAGGAAAUUUAUUUACAACUUACACUUGUUCAUGAACACAGCCAUGAGCUGCGUGCUAGGGGUGCAAUAAAAGAACAGGAAAAACCCCACUAGAGCUCCCCAGUGAUAGACAACGAGCAUGUGAACACUUUCAUAAGGAAUCCAGGAGAACAUUCUGGUAUGCGUCACACAGGCAAUGGCCCGGGUGCUGUGACAGGGAGUGGCGGGGUGACCUGCUUUUUACAGAGUGAUCAUGAAGGGCUGCCUGAAGAAGUGAGAGUGAAUGCGACUGUGAGGAGAGAUGCCAAAAGAACAUUCCAGAAAGAGGGAAGAGCAGGCGUGAUGGCCCUGCCCAGGAAGGGCAUGCAUGUGUGGAAUACUCAGGCCGCCUGGAGCCUAGUGGGGUGCAGGGAGCGUGACAGGAGAUGAGGUUGGCCAUGUGGCAGGGCCAGGCCUGGAGGAGCCCACAGGCAGGGGAGGGGCGGGGAGUUCAUUCUCAGACCCAUGAGAAUCCAAUAAGGGGUGUUUUUGUUUUUUGUUUUGAGAUGGAGUUUUGUUCUGUCGCCCAGGCUGGAGUGCAGUGGUGCGAUCUCAGCUCACUGCAACAUCUGCCUCCCAGAUUCAAGCAAUUCUCCUGCCUCAGACUCCUGAGGAGCUGGGAUUAUAGGUACCCGCCACCACACCUAGCUAAUUUUUUGUAUUUUUGGUAGAGACGGGGUUUCACCAUGUUGGCCAGGCUGGUCUUAAACUCCUGACUUCAAGUGAUCCACCCGCCUCAGCUUCCCAAAGUGCUGGGAUUACGUGUGUGAGCCACUGCGCUCAGCCCAAUAAGGGAUGUUUUUAAACUGCUAAUCAAUGAAUUAAGGUAGUUGAUGUCACCAUCUGCAAUGGUGACUUCAACCCCAACUCCUGGCUCACACUGAUGAGAAUAAUCCACUUGGCAGUCUCAGGAGGGCUGUGCAGGUGUGUAGGUUGCGGGUGGAUUCUCCUCUGGAAGGAAGCCCAUGUCAAGAGCCUUCGCCACAAGGAGUUU
rnacentral:lncRNA from 10 species